rnacentral:rRNA from 1 species
AGAGUUUGAUCCUGGCUCAGAUUGAACGCUGGCGGCAUGCCUUACACAUGCAAGUCGAACGGUAACAGCACUUCGGUGGCUGACGAGUGGCGGACGGGUGAGUAAUACAUCGGAACGUGCCCGAUCGUGGGGGAUAACUACUCGAAAGAGUGGCUAAUACCGCAUACGAUCUACGGAUGAAAGCGGGGGAUCGCAAGACCUCGCGCGGACGGAGCGGCCGAUGGCAGAUUAGGUAGUUGGUGGGAUAAAAGCUUACCAAGCCGACGAUCUGUAGCUGGUCUGAGAGGACGACCAGCCACACUGGGACUGAGACACGGCCCAGACUCCUACGGGAGGCAGCAGUGGGGAAUUUUGGACAAUGGGGGAAACCCUGAUCCAGCCAUGCCGCGUGCAGGAUGAAGGCCUUCGGGUUGUAAACUGCUUUUGUACGGAACGAAAAGACUCUUUCUAAUACAGAGGGUCCAUGACGGUACCGUAAGAAUAAGCACCGGCUAACUACGUGCCAGCAGCCGCGGUAAUACGUAGGGUGCAAGCGUUAAUCGGAAUUACUGGGCGUAAAGCGUGCGCAGGCGGUUAUAUAAGACAGAUGUGAAAUCCCCGGGCUCAACCUGGGAACUGCAUUAGUGACUGUAUAGCUGGAGUGCGGCAGAGGGGGAUGGAAUUCCGCGUGUAGCAGUGAAAUGCGUAGAUAUGCGGAGGAACACCGAUGGCGAAGGCAAUCCCCUGGGCCUGC